rnacentral:sRNA from 1 species
UAGCAGAGUGACUAGGGGUGGCAGUGGGGCAGGGGGAGCCUUCAGGGCAGAGAACAGCCUGUGUGAAGUCUCCCAUGAGUUUGCCAUAAACUUCAACCCCACCAACCCCUUCUGCUCAGGUGUGGAUGGUAUUGCCCAGGCGUACUCAGCUUGCCUGCCCCACAUUCGCUUCUACGGUCCUACCAAUUUCUCCCCCAUCGUCAACCACGUGGCCCGGUUUGCGGCCCAGGCCACACAGCAGCGGACGGCCACGCAGUACUUCAUUCUCCUCAUCAUCACGGAUGGGGUCAUCAGUGACAUGGAGGAGACGCGGCAUGCCGUGGUGCAGGCUUCCAAGCUGCCCAUGUCCAUCAUCAUCGUGGGCGUGGGCAAUGCGGACUUCGCUGCCAUGGAGUUCCUGGAUGGGGACAGCCGCAUGCUGCGCUCCCACACGGGGGAGGAGGCAGCCCGCGAUAUUGUGCAGUUUGUUCCCUUUCGAGAGUUCCGCAACGCAGCAAAAGAGACCUUGGCCAAAGCUGUGCUGGCGGAGCUGCCCCAACAAGUUGUGCAGUAUUUCAAGCAUAAAAACCUGCCCCCCACCAACUCGGAGCCCGCCUGAGCUCCAAUGCCCAGCAGCAGCAUGUCAGCUGAGCCUCCUGCCCUCCCCCAGGAGCAUGCACGCUCACCCUGCUUCCUUGUGGGUGGCCUUUUUUUACCGAUCCACAUUUUUAUUUUUUACAACCGGACCUCCACCCCCAACUUCCUCCAGCCCAGCUGGGCUUCCUUUGUUGGAGUCAACUGUUGAUGCUUCCAGGCCAAACUGGCUUCCUCUCCUCCUCUCCCCACCUUUGCCAUUCUUAAGUAUUGAAUGUACUUUGUAUAAUUUUAGUGGAAUUGUUAUUGAGAAUAAAAUUUUUACAAUCAUAA